rnacentral:tRNA from 1 species
UCCUUGGUGGUCCAGUAGCUAAGACUCCUCACUCCCAACUCAGGGGGCCUAGGUUCAAUUCCUAGUCAGGGUA